ACAGUGACUUUCCCAGGAUCAGAGAGGACAACCCCCGGUCCUGACAGCGCCGGUGCAAAUAACAUCAUGUACCGCGUUGUCCUGCCUCUAGGCAUAUUUCUAUUGGUUGCCGGUGCGAUUAUCAUCUUUUGCUGUUACAAGUACAAGGCCUGGCGCCGGCGUGAACAAAAACAGGCAACUGAUCUAGCGAUGGUUCGAGUGGAGAAGCCAGUUGAUCAAAAACCUGUAGUGAAAAUUAAGGAAAACAACAUCAGACCACAAAUGGAUAACAUCAAGAAAGAAAUGCCGAUUAU